UUUUACAAGAUCAUCAGUCACACAAUCUCACCACUCCAGAUUUUGAAAACAGAAACCAAAGUAUAAAACGAAAGAGAGCAACCAAGUCCCAGGAGAAGAUAGCAGUGAGUGAAAAUAUUUUAUCAGAUUAAAAUUUUAGUUGGUGAUUAUAU
rnacentral:lncRNA from 1 species